GUAGUCUCGCACAGAUGCAUAUCAAUAAGCGGAGGAAAAGAAACUAACAAGGAUUCCCCUAGUAACGGCGAGUGAAGCGGGAAGAGCUCAAAUUUGAAAUCUUAAAGGGUUUCCCUUUACGAAUUGUAGUUUAAAGAAGUGUUUUCUGUUGAGGUUUUGGUAAAAGUUCUUUGGAAUAGGACAUCAUAGAGGGUGAGAAUCCCGUAUUUGACCUUUACUUUCAACUUUGUGAUACACUUUCAAAGAGUCGGAUUGUUUGGGAAUGCAGUCCAAAAUGGGUGGUAAAUUUCAUCUAAAGCUAAAUAUUGGCGAGAGACCGAUAGCGAACAAGUACCGUGAGGGAAAGAUGAAAAGAACUUUGAAAAGAGAGUUAAACAGUACGUGAAAUUGUCAAAAGGGAAGCGUUUGACACCAGUGUUGUUUUUCUGAAAAUCAAUUAAAGAACUGUUUAUGCUAAGUUGUUUAGACUUUAUCAGCUAAUCUGCUUAGUUUUGAGCUUUUCUUUAAUGCACUUUUCAGUUAACAAGUCAACAUCAAUUUCUUUUGCUGUAAAAAAGCUUGAGGAAGGUGGCUUGAGAUUCGUCUUAAGUGUUUAUAGCCUCUUGCCUAUGCAGUCGGAGAGAUUGAGGUCUGCAGCGUAGAUCCUUCGGGGCUAAAUGCAUUUGUGCUAGGUUAUAGCAUUUUAUAGACAACUUGUUGACUAUGAUUUGUCUUGUAGCUUACUCGCUUAUGUUAUUUUACCUACGCUUAGGAUGUUGACGCGCGUGUGUGCGUGAGUCUAUACAUGACUCUGUGCAUAUCAAUAAGCGGAGGAAAAGGAGUAUACCUACGCUUAGGAUGUUGACGCGCGUGUGUGCGUG
rnacentral:rRNA from 1 species